rnacentral:tRNA from 1 species
GCUUAAAUAGCUUAUAAAGAGCAUAACAUUGAAGAUGUUAGGGAGACCUUUGGGUCUUUGGGCA